UACAGAGGUCCCAAGCGUUGUUCGGAUUCAUUGGGCGUAAAGGGUGCGUAGGUGGCGUCGUAAGUCGGGUGUGAAAUUUCGGAGCUUAACUCCGAAACUGCAUUCGAUACUGGCGUGCUUGAGGACUGGAGAGGAGACUGGAAUUCAUGGUGUAGCAGUGAAAUGCGUAGAGAUCAUGAGGAAGACCAGUGGCGAAGGUGGGUCUCUGGACAGUUCCUGACACUGAGGCACGAAGGCCAGGGGAGCAAACGGG
rnacentral:rRNA from 1 species